rnacentral:tRNA from 1 species
GAGGGUAUAGCCCAAGUGGCAGAGUGUAUGCUUGGCAUGCAGGAAGUCCUGGGUUCAAUCCCCAAGUACCUCCA